GAGAUUCUACGUACGGAUCGAAUCAGACUUUAUCAUCUUUAAAUUAAUUAAUUAAGUGCUAUAUAAGAAAAAUACUUAUUAUGAAAUGAUAAAUAUUCUCAUUCUACUGGGGAAUAUUGAGGAUUUUUUUUUUUUUUUUAUUUAUUUAUCACGUCAGGAUCAGAUUUUUCACCCCCCUUCUAUCAAGUUUCCUUUGAUAAGUACUUUAGAGGAAUCCAUACAAAGUAUUGACAGACUCAUGAUGUAUAAAUUAGAUGGCUACAAAACGUAAAUAAAUGAUAUUUUCAGCCUAUAUAUAAGAUCAAAGUACUUUUCCUUACCAGACUCAUAUUUGAAGGAGCAGCGGGCAUCCGGCCUCUCCUGGCCCGUAGCAAGAGAUAGCUAUCUAAGAAGAUGUUGCGAACAAUGCCAUGAACAUUCCGCCCGUGCUGGAACCCAAUUAAUUCUUCGCGUGCAUAGCAGGCGGGACAGAGAUCGUAGGUAUAGCCACCGCUGUCAAAGCAUUCGAGGCAUGUAAAAUACAUCCUCCUUAGCCACACCCCGCAGCAUCGGCACCGCACACGUGUUUUCAUGAAGUAGUACAACGCCAGGACAUCGUAGAAAUCCAAGCGACCGUCUCUGUCGAGGUCCAAUGCCCAGAACAUGUUGCAGUCUAUCCAGGUGUAACCGCAUGCUCGGAAGAACGUGAAAUACUCAUCCAAACUGACUCGGCCAUCCCCAUUCAUAUCCAUCUCCUUAAAGAAGGCCCAUGCUAGAUUUUGAAGUUCCGGGGGGGCAUUGUUGUAGUAAGCUGAAGCAGCCAUGCGUAACUCGUUGAUUUCGGAUAGAUCCAUUAAUAUUGCUGUAUGUGAGCAGGGCCUUUGAUCGAGCUUCUGAAGUACUACUUA